AUUGAACGCUGGCGGCAUGCCUUACACAUGCAAGUCGAACGGCAGCACGGGAGCAAUCCUGGUGGCGAGUGGCGAACGGGUGAGUAAUAUAUCGGAACGUGCCCAGUCGUGGGGAUAACGUAGCGAAAGCUACGCUAAUACCGCAUACGAUCUAUGGAUGAAAGCGGGGGAUCGCAAGACCUCGCGCGAUUGGAGCGGCCGAUAUCAGAUUAGGUAGUUGGUGAGGUAAAGGCUCACCAAGCCGACGAUCUGUAGCUGGUCUGAGAGGACGACCAGCCACACUGGGACUGAGACACGGCCCAGACUCCUACGGGAGGCAGCAGUGGGGAAUAUUGGGACAAUGGGCGAAAGCCUGAUCCAGCAAUGCCGCGUGAGUGAUGAAGGCCUUAGGGUUGUAAGCUCUUUUACCCGAGAUGAUAAUGACAGUAUCGGGAGAAUAAGCUCCGGCUAACUCCGUGCCAGCAGCCGACGG
rnacentral:rRNA from 1 species